rnacentral:rRNA from 1 species
UACGUAGGGUGCAAGCGUUGUCCGGAAUUAUUGGGCGUAAAGAGCUUGUAGGCGGUUUGUCGCGUCUGCUGUGAAAUUUCGGGGCUCAACCCCGAACUUGCAGUGGGUACGGGCAGACUAGAGUGUGGUAGGGGAGACUGGAAUUCCUGGUGUAGCGGUGAAAUGCGCAGAUAUCAGGAGGAACACCGGUGGCGAAGGCGGAUCUCUGGGC